CCAUGUAAGACGUGCCUGUUUCCCCUUCACCUUCUGCUAUGACUGUAAGUUUCCUGAGGCCUCCCCAGAAGCAGAAGCUACUAUGCUUCCUGUACAGCCUGCAGAACUAUGAGCCAAUUAAACCUCUUUUCUUUAUAAACUA
rnacentral:antisense_RNA from 1 species